rnacentral:pre_miRNA from 1 species
UACAAUGCUUUGACUCUUCAUCUUAUUUAAAAUUUUUUUACGAUUAAUAUUUUUAUUCUUACUAGAUGAUAAAACAUGAAUAGUACUUUAUACGUGACUAAUUUUUUUAAGUUUUUAUAUAAAUUUUUUAAAUAAGACAAACGGUCAAACGUUAGGCAUGGAAAAACA